UCUCUGCUCCACACCCCUAACGUCUCUUCCCUCUCUCUGCUCCACACCCCUAAGCCUCUUCCCUUUCUAUGCUUCACACGAAACGAAACCCUAAUGCCUCUUCCAUCACACGAAACCCUAACGCCUCUUCCAUCACACGAAACCCUAACGUCUUUGUCCUCUCAUGAAACCCUAACGCCUUUGUCCUCUCACGAAACUAACGCUCACUCUCGAGUCCGCCAUCGGCACCUCCGCGCAAGGAUUCAACAAAUCAAUCGUUUGUUCAGGUUUUUGCUUGCGCGCUCUAAACUCUAUAGCUUUGUCGCUUGAUAAAUUUACUGUGUUACUGUGUUCAUGUGAGAGGUAGGAAUUUGUUGCUGUGAGAAGAAGUUCAGGGUCAGAGAAGAACUUGCAUCAACUAACAUCUAAGUGGAUUAACCAGCAUCCAAAAACAAAUCAUUGAUCCAAGUAGUCCCUUGACAAUACAACUUUGUUAAUUUUACUUCCCCGUGCUAUCAAAACCUUAAAUGUCUGCUACC
rnacentral:lncRNA from 1 species